rnacentral:rRNA from 1 species
AUACCAGCUCUUCAAGUGGUCGGGAUAAUUAUUGGGCUUAAAGCGUCCGUAGCCGGUUUAGUUAGUUCCUGGUAAAAUCGGGUAGCUUAACUAUCUGUAUGCUAGGAAUACUGCUAUACUAGAGGGCGGGAGAGGUUUGAGGUACUACAGGGGUAGGGGUGAAAUCUUAUAAUCCUUGUAGGACCACCAGUGGCGAAGGCGUCAGACUGGAACGUGCCUGACGGUGAGGGACGAAAGCCAGGGGAGCGAACCGGAUUAGAUACCCGUGUAGUCC